UAACGCGUGGGCAACCUGCCUUAUACAGGGGGAUAACAGCUGGAAACAGCUGCUAAUACCGCAUAAGCGCACAGUGCUGCAUGGUGCAGUGUGAAAAACUGAGGUGGUAUAAGAUGGGCCCGCGUCUGAUUAGCUGGUUGGGAGGGUAACGGCCUACCAAGGCGACGAUCAGUAGCCGGCCUGAGAGGGCGGACGGCCACAUUGGGACUGAGACACGGCCCAGACUCCUACGGGAGGCAGCAG
rnacentral:rRNA from 1 species